GCGAACGCUGGCGGCAGGCUUAACACAUGCAAGUCGAGCGGGCCUUUCGGGGUCAGCGGCGGACGGGUGAGUAACGCGUGGGAACGUGCCCUCUGGUUCGGAAUAACUCAGGGAAACUUGAGCUAAUACCGGAUACGCCCUUAUGGGGAAAGGCUUGCUGCCGGAGGAUCGGCCCGCGUCUGAUUAGCUAGUUGGUGAGGUAACGGCUCACCAAGGCGACGAUCAGUAGCUGGUCUGAGAGGAUGAUCAGCCACACUGGGACUGAGACACGGCCCAGACUCCUACGGGAGGCAGCAGUGGGGAAUAUUGGACAAUGGGCGCAAGCCUGAUCCAGCCAUGCCGCGUGAGUGAUGAAGGCCUUAGGGUUGUAAAGCUCUUUUAUCCGGGACGAUAAUGACGGUACCGGAGGAAUAAGCCCCGGCUAACUUCGUG
rnacentral:rRNA from 1 species